rnacentral:rRNA from 1 species
UACGUAGGGGGCAAGCGUUGUCCGGAAUCAUUGGGCGUAAAGCGCGUGUAGGCGGCCAGAAAAGUCCGCUGUGAAAACUCGAGGCUCAACUUCGAGCUGUCGGUGGAAACUUUCUGGCUAGAGUCCGGAAGAGGAGAAUGGAAUUCCUGGUGUAGCGGUGAAAUGCGUAGAUAUCAGGAAGAACACCCGUGGCGAAGGCGGUUCUCUGGGACGGUACUGACGCUGAGGAGCGAAAGCAUGGGGAGCGAACAGG